rnacentral:rRNA from 1 species
GUGGGGAAUAUUGGACAAUGGGCGCAAGCCUGAUCCAGCCAUGCCGCGUGUGUGAAGAAGGCCUUUUGGUUGUAAAGCACUUUAAGCGAGGAGGAGGCUCCUUUAGUUAAUACCUAAAGAGAGUGGACGUUACUCGCAGAAUAAGCACCGGCUAACUCUGUGCCAGCAGCCGCGGUAAUACAGAGGGUGCGAGCGUUAAUCGGAUUUACUGGGCGUAAAGCGUGCGUAGGCGGCUUUUUAAGUCGGAUGUGAAAUCCCUGAGCUUAACUUAGGAAUUGCAUUCGAUACUGGAAAGCUAGAGUAUGGGAGAGGAUGGUAGAAUUCCAGGUGUAGCGGUGAAAUGCGUAGAGAUCUGGAGGAAUACCGAUGGCGAAGGCAGCCAUCUGGCCUAAUACUGACGCUGAGGUACGAAAGCAUGGGGAGCAAACAGGAUUAGAUACCCGGGUAGUCC